UUCAAAAAUAGAAAAUAUGAAGUCAUAAACACAUUUAAAUCUCAUUUGGAUCGUUGCCACUUCUUCUUCUCGUUCGCGAGGAUCGUUAACAGUCACUAUUAGACCCUUAAACGUAAUAUAAGAAUGACAGUAAAUAAAUGAAAUGGACGGCGUACAAAAAUCAAUAGAUGAAGAUGACUUUGACGUCAGAAUUGAUUUUGAAAAAGGAUUUGUGGGAAGAGAAAAUGAACUAAAUGAGUUACACAAAGCUUGGGAACGUCAUAGGAUAUUUGGAAUAUUUGGACUUAGAUCCGUCGGCAAAUCGAGACUUGUAAAAGAAUUCUUUAAAAGAUACAAACCGGAAGAUGCUGUAGUUAUACAAAUAGACAUGAAAAUGCUUCCAGAUGUAGUGUCUUUGUAUGCGAUCAUCUGCGCAUCUUUGGGGUUACAAAUUAAUCAGCAGUCGGAAGAGACUGCAAUAUUGAUUCAUCAGAUUGUUAGAUUUAUAUGCACUACAACUGAAAGGCAUUUCAUUUUCUUUUUGACAACACUGAAGAUUUCCAGGAUAUUAAGGGUGAAAGUGUCCGUGAUUCAUUUUCAACAUUUUGCAGCAGUCUUAUAAGGCAAUGCAAACAUGUAACAGUUUUUAUCUCUUCAACUUCUCGAUUGCCGUUGACUCACUUAGGGGAAGUUUACUAUAGUUAUGAAGUGUUACCUUUGAAACAAACAGAAACGCGUCAGCUACUGAAAAAUGUGACUGCGGGAAUCGAACUCGGGGAAUAUGCAGACGCUAUAGCACUUCUGAGCGAAGGCCUACCUCUCCUAAUUCUAAUGAUUGGCUCCGAACUAACCGAAGAUGAGGGAUUGAUUACUCUAAAUGAUAUGGUUGAAUUUUUGCUUACUUGUAGACUUAAGGCGCUGAGUAGGGAAUUCUAUCCCCUGGAAGAUUGAGUUGCUGAUGUCUACCAAAAGUUUCUUGAUCGGCUGGACGAUGUGUACAAGAAGAGCCUUAUUGUUCUAGAAUAUAUUCCAGGAACAUUUAAUGCUGACCAAGCUAAACAAAUGUUGGAUUUAAUACAGAUGAGUGUGUCAAAGAGCAGACGUUGGUGCCAAUACGCAGACGACAUGUAUUGAACUAUGACCACACCACAGGCAGAUUCAGUAUUCAAGGAAUACUGCGAGAGUGUUUAUCAACUUUCUAUAUUAUUGAGGAUAUUCCGGAAACAAGAAAAAAAUACAUUAAAACGUUUUCGACUGUGAUGACCAACAUUUCAAAGCGAAUGAACACAUCAGAAUAUGCAAGUGCGUCGGCUGAAUUUACGGUCGAACUACCAAACUUACGGAAACUGUUAAUAGAAGUACAGUACACGACACAAGAUAACUAUCAUUUCUUCAUUGAGAUGGCUACCACAUGUACAGGCAUGAUAGAACACUUUAUGUCAGGUAACGGAGAAAUAUUUUUACAAACAGUGUCUAAAGGCUGCACAGGAUGUA
rnacentral:lncRNA from 1 species